rnacentral:rRNA from 1 species
GGAAGCUUAUAAGGGCGUACGGGGGAUGCCUAGGCUCUCAGAGACGACGAAGGACGUGGUAAGCUGCGAAAAGCUGCGGGGAGGUGCAAACGACCGUUAAUCCGUAGAUGUCCGAAUGGGGAAACCCACAUGGUUGAAGACCAUGUACCUCGCAAGAGGAGAGAACCCAGGGAACUGAAACAUCUAAGUACCUGGAGGAGAAGAAAACAAUAGUGAUUCCGCAAGUAGUGGCGAGCGAACGCGGAAGAGCCUAAACCGGUCUGCGUGCAGAUCGGGGUUGUAGGACCGACAAAAAGUUAAUCAAACGAAGUGGAAGGUGUUUGGAAGAUGCCGCCGCAGAGGGUGAAAGCCCCGUACACGAAAGGUUGAUUAAUGGGUUGGGAUCCUGAGUAGGGCGGGACCGGCGAAAUCCUGUCUGAAACUGGCGGCACCAUCCGCUAAGGCUAAAUACUCCUGAGAGACCGAUAGCGAAGUAGUACUGUGAAGGAAAGGUGAAAAGGACCCCAAGAAGGGGAGUGAAAAGACCCUGAAACCGUACGCCUACAAGCGGUCGGAGCUGCACUUCGGUGUAGUGACGGCGUGCCUUUUGCAUAAUGAGCCUACGAGUUACCUUGACAAGCGAGUUUAAGCCCUUCAGGGGCGAAGGCGAAGCGAAAGCGAGUCUUAACAGGGCGAGAGCUUGUUGAGGUAGACGCGAAACCGAGUGAUCUACCCAUGGGCAGGUUGAAGUUCCGAUAAUAUCGGAAUGGAGGACCGAACUGGUAAACGUUGAAAAGUUUUCGGAUGACCUGUGGGUAGGGGCGAAAGACUAAUCAAACUCGGAGAUAUCUCGUACUCCCCGAAAUGCAUUUAGGUGCAGCGUCGCCAAGAGUGUGUCGGAGGUAGAGCUACCAAUAGGGCUAGGGGGCUUCACCGCCUACCAACCCCUGAUGAACUCCGAAUGCCGACACAUUGCAACGGCAGUGAGGCGGUGGGUGCUAAGGUCCAUCGCCGAGAGGGGAACAACCCAGACCAUCGGCUAAGGCCCCGAAGUGAUCGCUAAGUUGAUAGAACGAUGUGGGGAUGCAUUGACAGCUAGGAUGUUGGCUUGGAAGCAGCCAUUCAUUUAAAGAGUGCGUAACAGCUCACUAGUCGAGCGUUCCUGCGCGGAAAAUAAGCGGGCAUCAAGCGAUCCGCCGAAGCCAUGGAUGUCACGAAAGUGACAUGGUAGGGGAGCAUUCCGGUUGCGUAGAAGCCGUGUCGUGAGGCAUGGUGGAGCGGUCGGAAAAGCAAAUGUAGGCAUGAGUAACGAUAAAGGAUGUGAAAAACAUCCUCGCCGUAAGACCAAGGAUUCCUGAUCGAUGUUAAUCAGAUCAGGGUUAGUCGGGACCUAAGGAGUAGCCGAGAGGCGAAUCUGAUGGCAAACGGGUUAAUAUUCCCGUACCUGUUAUAAGUUAAAAAGGUGACGGAGAGGUGUAGUGCACGCGUACUGACGGAAUAGUACGUUGAACCAUCUGAGAGGAUGGGAUAGUACACUAAGUCCACUGGACGAGGUGAUAGUUGCAUGAAGCCGCUUCCAAGAAAAGCCGAAUUAUAACAGCCCGUACCGUAAACCGACACAGGUGGUCGAGUCGAGUAGACUAAGGCGCUCGAGUGAUUCACGGCUAAGGAAUUCGGCAAAAUGGUCUCGUAACUUCGGGAGAAGAGACCCCCACGCGAGUGGGGCGCAGUGAAUAGGUCCAGGCGACUGUUUAGCAAAAACACAGGGCUCUGCGAAAUCGAAAGAUGAAGUAUAGGGUCUGACACCUGCCCGGUGCCGGAAGGUUAAGGAAGGGGGUUAGUCGAAAGGCGAAGCUCUUGACUGAAGCCCCGGUAAACGGCGGCCGUAACUAUAACGGUCCUAAGGUAGCGAAAUUCCUUGUCGGGUAAGUUCCGACCUGCACGAAUGG